AACGAACGCUGGCGGCAGGCUUAACACAUGCAAGUCGAACGCCCCGCAAGGGGAGUGGCAGACGGGUGAGUAACGCGUGGGAACAUACCCUUUCCUGCGGAAUAGCUCUGGGAAACUGGAAUUAAUACCGCAUACGCCCUACGGGGGAAAGAUUUAUCGGGGAAGGAUUGGCCCGCGUUGGAUUAGCUAGUUGGUGGGGUAAAGGCCUACCAAGGCGACGAUCCAUAGCUGGUCUGUGAGGAUGAUCAGCCUCAUUGGGACUGAGACACGGCCCAAACUCCUACGGGAGGCAGCAGUGGGGAAUAUUGGACAAUGGGCGCAAGCCUGAUCCAGCCAUGCCGCGUGAGUGAUGAAGGCCUUAGGGUUGUAAAGCUCUUUCACCGAUGAAGAUAAUGACGGUAGUCGGAGAAGAAGCCCCGGCUAACUUCGUGCCAGCAGCCGCCGUAACAC
rnacentral:rRNA from 1 species